UCUCUACCUGAUCUUGUCGACUCGCUCUCUCACGUCCGAUCAAAAUCUUACAAAAUUGUUACUUGUCUCUCUUCUAUCUAGAGACAUGGCUAAUGGCGGAGCUGCUGCGUGUGCAGAGAGGGCGACGAGUGAUGCGUUGAUGGGCCCCGAUUGGGCUGCAAAUAUUGAGCUUUGUGACCUUAUCAACAUGGACCCAGGGCAAGCAAAGGAUGCCCUUAAGGUUCUUAAGAAGCGCUUAGGGAG